rnacentral:rRNA from 1 species
CCCCCUACGGGAGGCAGCAGUGGGGGAUAUUGCACAAUGGGGGAAACCCUGAUGCAGCGACGCCGCGUGAGUGAAGAAGUAUUUCGGUAUGUAAAGCUCUAUCAGCAGGGAAGAAAAAAGACGGUACCUGACUAAGAAGCCCCGGCUAACUACGUGCCAGCAGCCGCGGUAAUACGUAGGGGGCAAGCGUUAUCCGGAUUUACUGGGUGUAAAGGGAGCGCAGGCGGUCCUGCAAGUCUGGAGUGAAACGCAUGAGCUCA